UUUAGUAUGUGUUUUGUCAGUAUGUAUGACCAUUUAUUUUGGAGGGCAAAAGUAGCACUUAGCCACAAGAGACUUUCUUUAAUGACCAGUUCAAAGAUAACCAGUCCUAUUCUCAGCCUUUAAUUUUCUACUUUACUUCAAAAUCAUUGUUGUUCUUAAAUGCUUGAUAUUCAGCUUUGAUCUUGUAGCUCUUCCUGUGUGAUGCUCCAUUCCUCCUUUAUAUUGAUCAGAUCUCCUAACCUGAUAUCAUCAGCUAAUGAUUUUUCAUUAGUACACUCUUAAUAGUAGCCUG
rnacentral:lncRNA from 1 species